GCGGGAAAUUAUGUAAAUUUUGUGAUGUUUGGGAAAAUUUGUUUGAUGUUCCGAAAAAUUUAGGUAUGUCCGAAAAAUUUUUGAACCCCUAAAAUGGCCGCCAAAAUUUAUUGUUCCGGAAAAAAAUAUUUCGGCACUGGUCGGGUACAAUCCGAAAAAGUCGGGCAAAUUUCUUUCCGCCCCCCUAAUUUUUUCCUUCUCGUACGCCCAUGAGUCUAACCUCACACCCUCCAAAGGCAAAGUCCUGCGGCAACGGCCCUGGUCAUACUUAAAUCUAUGAUGUAUAUCAUCAUACAUGUGCACUUUUAUGUAUGAUGUACAUCAUCAUACAGACACAUUGAUAACCUAACCCUAACCCCACCUCCAAAGUAUUGUCUUG